rnacentral:rRNA from 1 species
AAGUAUAAGCAAUUAUACCGUGAAACUGCGAAUGGCUCAUUAAAUCAGUUAUCGUUUAUUUGAUAGUACCUUACUACUUGGACAACCGUGGUAAUUCUAGAGCUAAUACAUGCUGAAAACCUCAACUUCGGAAGAGGUGUGUUUAUUAGAUAAAAAACCAACGCCCUUUGGGGCUCCUUGGUGAUUCAUGAUAACUUUACGGAUCGCAUGGCCUUGCGCCGGCGACGGUUCAUUCAAAUUUCUGCCCUAUCAACUUUCGAUGGUAAGGUAUUGGCUUACCAUGGUUUCAACGGGUAACGGGGAAUUAGGGUUCGAUUCCGGAGAGGGAGCCUGAGAAACGGCUACCACAUCCAAGGAAGGCAGCAGGCGCGCAAAUUACCCAAUCCCGACACGGGGAGGUAGUGACAAUAAAUACUGAUACAGGGCUCUUUUGGGUCUUGUAAUUGGAAUGAGUACAAUUUAAACCUCUUAACGAGGAACAAUUGGAGGGCAAGUCUGGUGCCAGCAGCCGCGGUAAUUCCAGCUCCAAUAGCGUAUAUUAAAGUUGUUGCAGUUAAAAAGCUCGUAGUUGAAACUUGGGUCUGGCUGGCAGGUCCGCCUCACCGCGUGUACUUGUCCGGCCGGGCCUUCCUUCUGGAGAACCUCAUGCCCUUUACUGGGCGUGUUGGGGACCAGGACUUUUACUUUGAAAAAAUUAGAGUGUUCAAAGCAGGCCUUUGCUCGAAUACGUUAGCAUGGAAUAAUAGAAUAGGAUGUGCGGUCCUAUUUUGUUGGUUUCUAGGACCGCCGUAAUGAUUAAUAGGGACAGUCGGGGGCAUCAGUAUUCAAUUGUCAGAGGUGAAAUUCUUGGAUUUAUUGAAGACUAACUACUGCGAAAGCAUUUGCCAAGGAUGUUUUCAUUAAUCAGUGAACGAAAGUUAGGGGAUCGAAGACGAUCAGAUACCGUCGUAGUCUUAACCGUAAACUAUGCCGACUAGGGAUCGGGCGAUGUUCUUUUUCUGACUCGCUCGGCACCUUACGAGAAAUCAAA